AGAUUUUGACAGUUUCUUGAGGGUUUAAUACACUUAGACUGGGUUUGAGAUUACGGCAGAUCAAAUUGCAUUACGUGUGCUAAAAAAGUAAAAAAGUACGAUGGAAAAAAAAUACUUUGCUUAUUGUUUUAUUAUGUAAUACCACAUUGCACAUAUCGCACCGAGUCAGUUUCAGAUAUAUUUUAUCUGGUCCUGUACUGAAUAAUAGCAGAGCAUUUCUUUAUAUAUUUUUUGUUUAACUCUAUUUUGUCUAAGAGCGAUAGAUGACCCUCAAAACAAAACAAAACAAAACAAACUUAAUUUUAGAGAUCUUAAUUU
rnacentral:lncRNA from 1 species